GCCCCCAUAGCUCAAUGGAUAGAGCGUAAGCCUCCGGAGCUUGAGAUAGAGGUUCAAUCCCUCUUGGGGGUA
rnacentral:tRNA from 7 species